rnacentral:rRNA from 1 species
AACGAACGCUGGCGGCGUGGAUAAGACAUGCAAGUCGAACGCUAAUUAGAGGUUAGCAAUAAUCUCUAGUUGGAGUGGCGCAAGGGUGCGUAACACGUGGGUAAUCUGCCGUGAAGACUGGGAUAACUCGCUGAAAGGCGAGCUAAUACCGGAUGUGACUGUUUGGUGGCAUCACUGGACAUUCGAAGCUGGGGACCGAAAGGCCUGGCGCUUCACGAUGAGCCCGCGGCCUAUCAGCUAGUUGGUGAGGUAACGGCUCACCAAGGCUAAGACGGGUAGCUGGUCUGAGAGGACGACCAGCCACACUGGAACUGAGACACGGUCCAGACACCUACGGGUGGCAGCAGUCGAGAAUUUUUCACAAUGGGCGCAAGCCUGAUGGAGCGACGCCGCGUGGGGGAUGAAGGGUUUCGAUCCGUAAACCCCUGUCAUUUGCGAACAAACCUUGUGGGUGAAUAGCCCAUGAGCUGAUUGUAGUGAAAGAGGAAGGGACGGCUAACUCUGUGCCAGCAGCCGCGGUAAUACAGAGGUCCCAAGCGUUGUUCGGAUUCACUGGGCGUAAAGGGUGCGUAGGUGGCCAGGUAAGUUCGGUGUGAAAGCUCGGAGCUUAACUUCGAAAUGGCAUUGAAUACUAUCUGGCUAGAGGGUCGGAGGGGAGACUGGAAUUCUCGGUGUAGCAGUGAAAUGCGUAGAUAUCGAGAGGAACACCAGUGGCGAAGGCGAGUCUCUGGACGACUCCUGACACUGAGGCACGAAAGCCAGGGGAGCAAACAGGAUUAGAUACCCUGGUAGUCCUGGCUGUAAACGGUGCACGUUUGCUGUAAAGGAAUCGAC